AGCAGCCGCGGUAAUUCCAGCUCCAAUAGCGUAUAUUAAAGUUGUUGCGGUUAAAAAGCUCGUAGUUGAAUUUCGGAAUCUGUCCAUCGGUCGGGCUUCACUGUUCGUACUGGUGUGGUAGGUUCUUACCUUCUGAAUAACCAGCAUGCCAUUAAUUUGGUGCGUUGGGGAAGCAGGACUAUUACCUUGAAAAAAUUAGAGUGCUCAAAGCAGGCCAGUGCCUGAAUACAUUAGCAUGGAAUAAUAAAAUAGGACGGCAUGGUUCUAUUUUGUUGGUUUCUAGGAUCACCGUAAUGAUUAAUAGGGAUAGUUGGGGGCAUUAGUAUUCAAUUGUCAGAGGUGAAAUUCUUGGAUUUAUUGAAGACUAACUUCUGCGAAAGCAUUUGCCAAGGAUGUUUUCAUUAAUCAAGAACGAAAGUUAGGGGAUCGAAGACGAUCAGAUACCGUCGUAGUCUUAACCAUAAACUAUGCCGACUAGGGAUCGGACGAUGUUAAUUUUUAAUGACUCGUUCGGCGCCUU
rnacentral:rRNA from 1 species